UGGCGGACGGGUGAGUAAUGUCUGGGAAACUGCCUGAUGGAGGGGGAUAACUACUGGAAACGGUAGCUAAUACCGCAUAACGUCGCAAGACCAAAGAGGGGGACCUUAGGGCCUCUUGCCAUCGGAUGUGCCCAGAUGGGAUUAGCUUGUUGGUGGGGUAACGGCUCACCAAGGCGACGAUCCCUAGCUGGUCUGAGAGGAUGACCAGCCACACUGGGACUGAGACACGGUCCAG
rnacentral:rRNA from 1 species